GUGUGAAAAAAGGACUGAAGAGGCAUGAAAUAUGAAUCCAGAGAAAGGGAUAUAGGUGGGAAGGGGAAAGUAGAAAUGGGAGCA